CCUCCUUGUCAAACCUAAUCUCGUCCGACCUCAGGAGCUGAACAGAGCUGGGCCUGGUCAGUACUUGGAUUGGACACUGCUGGGAAUUCCAUGU
rnacentral:rRNA from 1 species